GGGGUCAUAGCUCAAUCGGCUGAGCAGUCGCCUGCAAAGCGAAAGGUUCCCGGUUCAAAUCCGGGCGGUCCCU
rnacentral:tRNA from 1 species